UAAGCCCCACCAAAGAAGAAAACGAAUCAACUCAGGGCUGUCAAAACCCAGAAGGGAAAUGUAAGGGGCCUUGGAAGAAGUCCCCAGCCUCUGUCUCCUGCGUUCCCAAACUCUUCCACUUGACUGGCUUCUUGGAACAGAACAGCUUUAAAGAGCCAUGGUGGCCUAAGGAGAUCGAACAAGCCCAUAGAAGGAUGAUACCUAAUUAACAGGGUUGAAUGGCCACGGUGACACUGUGAAUACAACUGUUUAACUGAUUGCAUCAUCACCAUUCUGAGUGCUGCCCUCUUCCCAGACAGAGAGA